rfam:Triticum aestivum genome assembly, contig: Triticum_aestivum_CS42_TGACv1_scaffold_473542_6AL
UAGGUUUGUCCUAAGUCAAACAUCUUCAGGUUUGACCAAAUUGAUGGAAAAAUAUAGCGACAUCUACAAUAUCACCUAUAUAUAGUAGUAUGAGAGUAUAUUUUAUAAUGAAACCAAAAUGAUCUUGUAGAUGUUGGCAUAUUUUCCCAUAGACUUGGUUAAACUUAAAGAUAUUUGACUUAGGACAAACCUAG